rnacentral:misc_RNA from 1 species
GAAAUGCGAUAAGUAAUGUGAAUUGCAGAAUUCCGUGAAUCAUCGAAUCUUUGAUCGCACAUUGCGCCCUCUGGCAUUCCGGGGGGCAUGCCUGUCCGAGCGUCAUUACGCACCCUCAAGCCCGGCUUGUGUGAUGGGCCCUGGCGUCUCGUUCGCGAGACGGGCCCGAAAGGCAGCGGCGGCGUCGACCCGAUGAGCCCGAGCGUAUGGGGACUUUUAUCACACGUUUGCGGUGCGGACCGGCGCCUGCUUGACUUUUCUGAAUAUCCAGGUUGACCUCGGAUCAGGUAGGGAUACCCGCUGAACUUAAGC